rnacentral:rRNA from 1 species
UACGUAGGGUGCGAGCGUUGUCCGGAAUUAUUGGGCGUAAAGAGCUUGUAGGCGGUCUGUCGCGUCUGCUGUGAAAAUCCGGGGCUCAACCCCGGACUUGCAGUGGGUACGGGCAGACUAGAGUGCGGUAGGGGAGACUGGAAUUCCUGGUGUAGCGGUGAAAUGCGCAGAUAUCAGGAGGAACACCGAUGGCGAAGGCAGGUCUCUGGGCGGCGACUGACGCUGAGAAGCGAAAGCAUGGGGAGCGAACAGG